ACUUUCAGUCCUCUUCCUGAGAUGGAAAAAUAAUGAUAUCUAUAUAAAAUAAAUAUUUCCAUAUGUGUCUAAAAAAAAAGAAAAAAAAAAAAGAACAAAAAAAAUAAGAAAAAAAAAAAAGAAAGUGAGCAAUCCCUGGAAUUCUCACCUGUAUGGAAGAUUUAAAAAUAUGAUUCUUGAAUCAUGCAAUGUUAAGUCAUUUAAUUCCCUUCUGAUAUGUUAGUGAGCCAGUCCACUGAGGGACUACAAAGAUACAUUUAUGUAAUUCAGUGCAGCAAAAAUAACAUCUGUACAGCUCAACACAGCUCUUCAGAAUAUGAACCAUUGUAAGAGAAUAAAGGAUAUAGUCUGUGAUAGACAAGUUGAAGGAUAAUCAAUUAGUAGCAGUGCAGUUGUCAGUAACUUGUCUAGGAGAAUCCAAGUUCUGCAUUUGUUCCAGCUGGCAUGGGCUGUCACAGACCUUGCUCAUCAUUCCCCUUGUCUUCCUGGGUCCAUAGGGACACACCUUGACCUCAUGACUGAAGCGCAGGAAGGAGGUGGGAAGCAGGAAAGUGACUGGUCUCCGUUUUCCCAUAGUCAAGAGUCUACAAGUGCCUUGGAGAGCAGCUGCUGAAACAAGAUUUGGAAUUUCCACAGCUUGUUUUUUGCCAGCAACAAGAGGCUAAGCAGUUUGUACUGUCCAAGUAUCCUUUGAUGGGGCUGCAAACAUGGUGGCACCUGCAGUCAGGAAAAAGCAGAAAAGAGGACAUGUUGCCUGAGGGCCAGCGGGAGCCUUGUAUCCUCUGGUACCACUCUCACCCAAACAAGGUACUUUGGAGUUGGCAUUAGGUUAUUAACCAUAAAAUCUGCUUAACUCAAAAAAGUAUUAUGUUGAUGUAGUGGCAGAUUUUCAGCAAUUAAAUUUCUUUAGCAUUUACAACAUUGUUACUUCAGCCUUUAUUUUUCCACCUUAUUGCUCAUUUACUAGAUAUUUGAAUCUUUGCUGUUUAUAAAAUAUGCUAUAUGAUGACAACAUUUCAUAGACAUCAAAUGC